rnacentral:rRNA from 1 species
GACGAACGCUGGCGGCGUGCCUAAUACAUGCAAGUCGAGCGAAUCUGCGGAUUGGUGAGUACCGCGUGGGUAACCUGCCCUUAAGUCUGGAAUACCAUUUGGAAACAGAUGCUAAUACCGGAUACUACAGGCUGGACCUGCGAUGCAUUAGCUAGUUGGUAAGGUAACGGCUUACCAAGGCGAUGAUGCAUAGCCGGGUUGAGAGAAUGAUCGGCCACAUUGGGACUGAGACACGGCCCAGACUCCUACGGGAGGCAGCAGUAGGGAAUAUUUCACAAUGGACGAAAGUCUGAUGCAGCCAUGCCGCGUGUAUGAAGAAGGCCUUCGGGUUGUAAAGUACUUUCAGCGGGGAGGCGUUACUCGCAGAAGAAGCACCGGCUAACUCCGUGCCAGCAGCCGCGGUAAUAC